GCGCACGCAGGCGGUCUGUUAAGCUAGAUGUGAAAGCCCCGCGCUCAACGUGGGAGGGUCAUUUAGAACUGGCAGACUAGAGUCUUGGAGAGGGGAGUGGAAUUCCAGGUGUAGCGGUGAAAUGCGUAGAGAUCUGGAGGAACAUCAAUGGCGAAGGCAACUCCCUGGCCAAAGACUGACGCUCAUGUGCGAAAGUGUGGGGAGCGAACAGGAUUAGAUACCCUGGUAGUCCACGCCGUAAACGAUGGUCACUAGCUGUUCGGACUUCGGUCUGAGUGGCUAAGCGAAAGUGAUAAGUGACCCACCUGGGGAGUACGUUCGCAAGAAUGAAACUCAAAGGAAUUGACGGGGGCCCGCACAAGCGGUGGAGCAUGUGGUUUAAUUCGACGCAACGCGGCAGAACCUUACCAACCCUUGACAUACUUGUCGCGGAUUCCAGAGAUGGAUUCCUUCAGUUCGGCUGGACAAUGUACAGGUGCUGCAUGGCU
rnacentral:rRNA from 1 species